rnacentral:sRNA from 1 species
GAUUAAGUUUGCCAAGAAAAAUGACAUCUUGUUCAAGCUCAUACUCUUUGAUCAAUUGCUGCAAUUGCGCGUAAUAAGCAGAAUCCAU